CUGCACUUUUUCCCUGGACAAGAAUGAAGGUUUCUCAAAGAGAGUCCAGAAGUCAUCUUUGGAGUCUGGAUGCUGUCUCUGCUUCAGAGUCUCUCUGCCAUAAAACAAGCAUCCACACAGCCUUCUUCCUCUGCUGCUGCCUGUGAGAUGAAGUGUUGUAUGCAUCCUCGGUGGCAUUAUUAACUGGAGCUUUUCAAACAGACGAAGUAUGUUACUGUGGCUAAAUUGUAAUGAAAGAAGAGAUGGCUGUUUGCCAAUAAAUGGUAAUUUGGCACCGGUUUAAUUGCACCCACAAGGAUAUCCUUAACAACAACAAAAAGAUGGAUCCUCUCUGUGACUUUGAAGAACUUUAGCUUGGCUGGGAAUACUGCUGCCCAAGACCAAUUGUGAGUGUGAGGCCAAACACGUGGACAGUCAGGAGCGAGGACCCAGCAGAUACCAUAUGCAGCAAAGUGCAGAGAUGAACUAUAGGCUUCCAGCAAGUUACCACUGCCAAGGAGGAUGCAAAGACAGGCAGUCUCCUGGAUACUGAGCUUAUUCUUGUGCGAGAAGUGCAGUAAUGACGCCUUUCUACACUGAAGGAAGCUAAAGUGAGUGUUGAUGGAAAUACUGCUGAUAAAAGUGUGUACUAAAAAUGAAAGUAGACAAGAGGAUGUUAAGUACAAAAAAGAAGAUACUUGGAUUUGAUGGCUGAGCACAAAUAGCUGCAUACAGAUUUUUCAGUCUUCAGGACAUCAAAGAUUUUGGAGAAGAGAUUGUAUAGACUGGAUAGGUAACAGCUGUUACCGGAUGGAUUUAACGGCCAGAGCAAAAUCAUUUCAGUAGCUUUCAAAGCUGGAAGCUAACCAGGUUCUCAAAAUGGACUCCAGCUCACUCAGGGAUGGCAAGG